UACGUAGGGUGCGAGCGUUAAUCGGAAUUACUGGGCGUAAAGCGUGCGCAGGCGGUUCGUGAUGUCUGAUGUGAAAGCCCCGGGCUUAACCUGGGAAUGGCAUUGGAAACUAGCGGGCUGGAGUGUGGCAGAGGGGGGUGGAAUUCCACGUGUAGCAGUGAAAUGCGUAGAGAUGUGGAGGAACACCGAUGGCGAAGGCAGCCCUCCGUGGGCUAACACUGACGCUCAUGCACGAAAGCGUGGGGAGCAAACAGG
rnacentral:rRNA from 1 species